CGGGAAACGUAGUCGUGACUCCUUCUGGCUCCCCGCGCGGCGCUCUGGGAAGGGGCUUCCGGGCUCCCUCUGCGCAUGUGCAGCCGUAACCCCGCCUCUUCCCUCGUCUUCUGCGGACUCCGCGGGAGCCGUUAGGUGCCCGGAGUCUACUGAGAAAAGGCUGCGCUGCUGUCAGACGUGUCCAUCACCACAUGUGACAUUAAUGACAUCAUCCUGACCUCGCAGGAUCCCAGAAUAAUGAUGCUUGAAGGAUUUUCCAAAGUCAUCUACUUCCAACUCUCUUGAAAACUUUAAAGACAUUGGGCCUGAAAGUUUCAGUGACUUGUCCAGGGAAACCCGGUUUAUGACAGAAGGAAAACUGCAGUUCCCUCUCAGAUAAGUCACCAAAAGCAUCUUAUCAAAGGGGCCUUCUGAGAAAUACAUCCCAGCUGAAACGAACAAAAGUUCCUGCCUUCAAGCAUCCCAUCUCUUUUCUGUGAAUUGUCUGUACCAAGAGCUGAGCCACAGUUCUCUACACUCACCCAGGAGCCACAGAAAGUGAACAUCCCUCAGGUAUCAGUGUCAUUCAAGGACGUGAGUGUGGAGUUCCCCAGGAGGAGUGGCAGCAGAUGGACUCUGCACAGAGGACCCUGUACAGAGACGUGAUGAUGCUGGAGAACUACAACCGCCUCGUCUCUGUGGAACUGAGAUGUCAGCUCAACACUGAGUACAUGUGGCAUAAAAUCAGAGUUGGAAAAGGAGGACCAUCACCAAAUGCAAUGUAUGUUCCUCUGGAAAACCCAAAGCAGCCUAGAGUGAAGUAUGGGGAACAAAACAGAAAAAAAAAAAUAAUGGAGAAAAGGUCAAGCUUGCAACUUCUAUUUCCAGGCUUCACAAGGUACACUGGUACUUUCCAACCCUGAGAGACAAGGUGAUGUUUAGGAUGACUCCACUAAUCAUGUGGCCUUGAGUAUCUCAGCAGAUGUCAGUUAAGUCAUUUAAAAGGAUAACUUAACUUAAAUUAUUUCAUCCUAAUUAUGAAAAAGUCGUAAAUUCAAAUAAGCAGGGUAAUUUACUUCUAUUUUGAUUUAAAAAAUUUUUCAGUUGCUUGGUUUCUCAGAUCAGAGUAAAUGGGUAAUGGUACCAGUUAUAUGAAUUUGACUCAAAUUUAAAUACACAUAUGAGCUGGAUUAAAGUUCUUAUUUGAUAUGCACAUUAACAUUUGUACUAGAGUUUCAGUUGGGAAGAGGGUGGUGUAGGAGGACUCUGAACUCACCUUCUCUCAUGGACACAACAAAUUUACAACUACUCUUGGAACAGUUACGCCUGAGAGAGAACUGGAAACUGGAUAAAAAGUACCCCCACAACAAGGGAUCACGCUGUCUCAGUUGGAAGACGCAGAAAUUCCUUUCUGGAGAGGAAAAAGCCACAUUUUAGCUCUGGCACUCCAUGGCUGGAAGCAGUCUUAAGGUAUGGAGUUUUCCCUGGAGGAGCAGGGGAAUCUGAGCUGGAGAGCUUUAGCACACUAAGUGGCUUUUGAACUCAGUGCACCCAAGAUGAGUGUAAUAAUAUCUAACUUUGCUGGCUAUUAACAACAAUGGGGAAUACCCUAGAAAAGCUGUUGAGCAGAAGAGAAAGGAAACCCUCGUCUUAAAGGGCCAAUGCACAAAUUCACCCAUUUCAGAAAGCAACCUAAAAUCACUGGAAAGAAAGGCGCACAGUCUUUUAGUGAAAAAAGACUCACUUGAUAGGCUCUGGGUGCCUGAGAAGCAGGAGGCAGCUGGAACCACCUCCCCAAGGACUCAGACAUUGGCAGCAGAAAUUAUUGUGACCUAGGACAAGGAUGCUGGCACAUGCUGGCAGAUGCCAUUGGAGUUCUUCCCCAGGCCUGUUAGUGCAGGCUUUGGCCUCACCCACUAUAGCACCAAUUUCACUCUGCUUACAAUUCUCUGGAUCCUUUCAAUGUAAGAACAUGUGUUUAUUCAAUCCUAGAAGUUUUUUUCUGUUCCUUUGAUAACCUUUGAUUAUUGCUUAGUCUGGAAAUCUAAUCAGAUGAAUGUUGGACCAGCUUCCAUGUCUGCCCGUGAUGGAGUAAUAAGGACUGAAUUUAUCUUCUUGCCUUAAACCAGAAAACUGGGCAAGAUAUGAAAUGAUGGUUUCUACACAUUGGGUAAUAGAAUUUAGAACUAUUAUCCCUGAGAAAGAUGAAACAAAUGGGGUGAGACUUGUGAUUGGCCCAGUUUACCACCAGCAGGCAGUUUCCAGGCCAUAGUGUAGGGAGGAUGUAGUCAAGAUUGCCAAUGUAGUCAUUUGACAAUCUUGCUGAGUUGAGGAGAUAGAAGUCAGAGUUUGGGGAGGUACCGUUGCCCACCUGUCAGAUUAUAAAUUUUAAAAAUUAUGACCACACUUUAUGUUGAUAGGACUGUGGGGAAGCAGGCACCCUCACACAUGCUGCUGGGAAUGUAAACUGGUAAAACCCUUUUGGAAAGAAACUUGGGCAUAUUUUAGAAAACCACCUAUACACUUACCUUUUGAACCUCCAGCUUACCCAGGGCAGGGACCCUCCCUCUGGGCUAUCUCCACCCAAUAGGAAGCCAUCAGGCAACUUCUGGGUCCAUGUAGGUGGGAUGUAUGGGAUCUCUGCAGCUGGGAGUGAGUGUUUCUGCCUGUGUGGCAGGGCGUGUGCAAAGGGCAGGUCAUGCACAAGGGAUGAGCCUGCACUGGUUGAGUGUGUGGCACCUCUGCAGUAGGGCCAGUGGAUCCACUUCAGUGAGGCAGGGCAUACGCAUGGGACAAGACAGCACUUAGAGGGUGUGUUGGCCUGCAGGUGUUGAUGCUUGUCAGUUGCAGCAGACUUGUGCUUCUCAAACAGCCACAUAAGGGAUUGGCCCCACCUUCCAAAGCCUGAAACAAUUGGGUGCAGCCAUACCUGGGGCCGACCCCACCCAACUGCAAUCCUGAGAGAGCUGACAACAGCCUUGCAGCCUGGAGGCCUGCAGCAAUUAUAAGUCUCUGAGCCUAGCAAUCAGCCAUGCUAGGGGCCUACUCCCUUAACCGAAAAAGUGCAGCAGGAAUGUGCUAUUAGAUCUUCCAGCCAAUUGUUCUGGGACUCCCCAUGCCCAGUAAAGUGCCUGAAGGCUCCAUAGCAGCUGCACGUGGCUGAGCAUUACAACCAGCCAGCCAUGGGGACAGCAUAGCUUCUGCAUGGAUCUGCAGGAAGAGCAACCCUGACACAACAGAAGGGCACAUGUAGCCCACACAGGGGACAGUCCUCGAACACUUGGUACUGGUGAGGAGGGGAAAACACAUUUCUGGGCUUCAUAAGGCAUCCUUUACAUAAGGACACCAAUCCAAGAUUGGGAGACAUAGCUGAUCUACCUAAUAAGUAGAUGUAAGCACAGAGAAAGAGGCAAAAUGAGGAGACAAAGGAAAAUGUUCCAAAUAAGGG